rnacentral:lncRNA from 1 species
AUUUGUGUUCUCAAGAGUGACGGAUAUAAUUUACGGUAAAUUUGCUGCGUGCAUUUUGUGGCCUUUCUUGUGAACGGUGUGUACGGAAAACAGCAAGCAAGCAAAUUUAGCAUAGCAGCUGUGUGUAUAGCGGCCUGCACGAAAAGUAGCAGCAGCCGACCGCAAAAGCAAGAAGAAAAAAAAAACAACAAUACACUCUUCUCCGCGAAAAUCCGAUAAUUCCUCAAAACAAAACAAAAUGACUACUAAAAAACUAAAAUAGUGCUUGUACUCACCUUAAAAAUACAACAACACUUUUGCUAAAAAAGAUAAUUAGUAAACAGUUAUUAUUGUUAAGAUGCAAAUAUAUUUGAAAAUGAAAAAUACAAUUUAAAAUCCAACAAAAAGUUGUGCACAACACGCUGCACAAACUUUUUAUAUUGUAUCUAACUAACAACAAAGAAAAAUAGUGCUUAAUAGUGUAGAAAUAUAGUAAAAAAUGCAGAAUUUAAUAAAAAUGCCUCAAAAUACAGUAAACAUGAGAAAAUAGUGGGAAAACAAAAAAGGAGUAGAAAUUGGAAAAAGUAGUAGAAAAUGAGUGAAUUGUAAAAGAGUAGUAGAAAGUUAGAAAAUUGUGCAAAGUUACGAAAACACCAGCAUGCAUUGCAAUUACGCAUGUAAAAUCAGUUUUACAACAUUAGUUGUAAAUUUAGUUUCAAUUGAGUAAAUAAACAAAACCAACAACAAUAAUAGAAAUAAACAAACCAACAAAAAAAUAAAAAAUAAAAUAAACGUAUUAAGUGUAAGUUAAUGAAUAUUAAAAUUUACAAUCAGCAUUCAAUACCAACUGACAACUAUGUAAAUGAUGCGCAUCUGAAAUAACAACAACAGAAAAGCUUAUGCAACUGUGUAGCUGCAGCCAUUAGAAUAACAACAAACCGUGUCAGUCUGUGUGUGUGUGUGCAUUAGCAAAGGCAUCAAGCACAAUAAGCUGACAAUAAAAUCUACACAACAACAACAACAGCAACAACUAAAUACCACCAAGAAACAAAAAUUGCAUUUAUCAUACUAACUUUCGGCUGGUAGCAGCAAGCAGCACAAACGACGUUGGAGCUUUGCAAUUAAUUAGUAACUGCCAAUAGACGAGCAAAAGCCAUAUUUAAUAUAAACAACAACAACAAAUAGAUUUGUAGUAACAACAGCAGCAACAACAAGCAAUAUCAACAAUAUGAUUGCAAUGUGGAGAUACUUUUUAAUCGGUAAGUCUUGACGGAAAUUUAUAAGUGAGAUCCCUAGUUUAAAAAGUUUACAGGCAUGCAGUAAAUGACAAGUAAAACGAUUUUCCAUAAAUUUUUAAUAACAACCUCUCCAUGAACAUUUUUAUGCCUUUCUUCCCUUUAUUAAUCACCCGAAUUCAACAUUUUCCACAUUCCACCGAUAAAAUAAAAUUAAAAAAUUUGAGUUCAAAAAAAUCAUAAAGUUCAUAUUUGAUCCAUUAAUCCCCCCUGUCCGCAUUAUGACUCUCUAAAAACUCAAUUAAAUACAGGCUCAGUGGUGUUAAGCAAUUAAUUUUUAUUUUAUAUUUAAGCAUUUAUUAAAAACAUUUGAGCCAUCUGCUGAAUAACUGUACGAUUAAUGUGUACGUAUGCACGUUUGUGAGCAUAUUUGCUUGUGUUGGUGCAUAAAAAUGCCUACAAUAAUGACAAUCAAUCAAUUUAAAUGAAUUUUCUUUUUAUUGCCGCUGCGACUUUAUUGUCCACGCAUAAUUAACAUAAAUUUGAAUUAUAAUAUAAUUGUGAAAAUAAGAGCAUAAUUUGUAUAAUACUUUUGGUACUGAUGAAUGCGCGCAUGCAAGCAAUUUGUUGUACAAUUUUUUUUAUUGUGUUUUUCGCCAUUUAAGUGGAUCAUUACAA